AAAAUAUUUUUUUCCUUAGUAUGGAAGACAGAACAGGACCUAUGGAGCUAUAGAAAAAGUACCGCAAGGGAAAGCUGAAAAAGAAAUGAAAAAAGCCAGUUAAGAAUAAAAAAGCAGAGAUUAAACCUCGUACCUUUUGCAUCAUGAUUUAGCCAGCAACUUCAAGCAAAGAGCCCUUUAGUUUGAAACCCCGAAACUGAGUGAGCUACUCCAGGCCAGCCUAAAAAAUAGGGCACACCCUUCUCUGUGGCAAAAGAGUGGGAAGAGCUUUGAGUAGAGGUGAUAAACCUACCGAACCCAGUUAUAGCUGGUUGCCUGGGAACUGAAUAUUAGUUCAGCCUCUCAACUUCUUCCCUCCAAAUCCCACAACAUUUAUUAAGGGACAAAAAGAAGAAGAGAGAGUUAGUCAAAGGGGGUACAGCCCCUUUGAAACAGACACAACUUUUUUAGGUGGGUAAGGAUUAUACUUAUUCAAGGAAACAUGUUAAAGUGGGCCUAAAAGCAGCCAUCCUAACAAAAAGCGUUAAAGCUUAGACAUCAAAUUAUCCAGUUAUUCUAAUAUCUUACUCCAAACCCCCUAAUACUUACCAGGCCGCCCCAUUAAAAUGGAAGCGACCAUGCUAAAAUGAGUAAUAAGGAAGCACCGCCCUCCUCAUAGCGCAUCUGUACAUCGGAAUGGACAAACCCCCGAAAAUCAACGGCCCCAAAACACAGCGGGCAUUAAAAACCCCCUUAAAAUGCUAGAAAAACUUUUAAGCUAAACCGUUAACCCCACACAGGAGCACACCUAAAUGAAAGACUAAAAGAAAAAGAAGGAACUCGGCAAAACCUAUAAGCCUCGCCUGUUUACCAAAAACAUCGCCUCUUGCCCCCCCCCCGUAUAAGAGGUCCUGCCUGCCCAGUGACACUAAGUUAAACGGCCGCGGUAUUUUGACCGUGCAAAGGUAGCGCAAUCACUUGUCUUUUAAAUGAAGACCCGUAUGAAUGGCAAGACGAGGGCUUAACUGUCUCCUUUUUCCAGUCAAUGAAAUUGAUCUUCCCGUGCAGAAGCGGGAAUACGCCCAUAAGACGAGAAGACCCUGUGGAGCUUAAGACAAUAGAACCGCCCACGUCAAUCACUGCAAAAUAAAGCCAAACAAACUAAUUGGUUUCUGUUCUAAUGUUUUCGGUUGGGGCGACCAUGGGGAACAACAAAACCCCCACGUGGACUGGGAGUAACCUCCACACUCCUACAAAUCAGAGGGACACCUCUAGUUACCAGAACUUCUGACCUUAAAUGAUCCGGCAAUGCCGAUCAACGAACUAAGUUACCCCAGGGAUAACAGCGCAAU
rnacentral:rRNA from 1 species